rnacentral:lncRNA from 10 species
UUUCUUGCUCACUUGAAUUUUAAGAGAAACUUUCCCAAGGGGUCCAGACAAGUGCUGUUUUGCUCUAAGUCUCUGUAUGCAGCAACAUUGGUUGUUUUCAUCAUACCUAUACCUGGUAAGCGGCAGCAUUGCUCUUCUGCAUGAUAUUAGUACUUUCCUACUGUGGUUGGACUUCUCCCCUUGCGACUCCUGCUUCUCCACGAUGUGAUGCAGGUUGAAUGAAGGAGCAUGGGGCUCUCCCAAUCAGAGACACCUAAGACUGGCCCCAAAUCACCUUGCCCAGGGAACAGAAGAAGCAGAUGCCUACGGUGUGGAGCAAUGCCCCACAUCUGCGCAAUUCUAAAUUCCAUGGCCACUCAGUCUUCAUUUCCUUUCCUGAAACUGCCUGUGAGCUCUAGUAAGAUGGAGACUCCAAACUUAGAAAGCAGAUGCCUGGGGAGGUACUCUGUGCAGAAACUGGAGUCCCUGAGGUUCUGCCUCCUAGGGUUUGGCCUGGAUUUUCUAGGACAACUCACUGCACUGGGGAAAAUGAGCUCAUCCGGUCACUGAUCAGACAUAUGUCAGUGACUGAUCAGGAGUGUCAAGGACAAUUCCCCAGAAAAUGGCUGCUGCUCCCUGUGGCUUUGGUGGCAGUGCCACACAGAUGGGUCAAUCUACCUGGUAGCCUUCUCAAAUCCACAGAAUGUAAACACCAAAAGAAGCCACAGGCCCUGGGACCUGCAUAGGAAAUGUCUCAGCAGGCAUCUGACCGGAUUGGAGUCAGCAGAGGAGAAUCUGUCAAAACAAAUCCUGUUUUGGAAAUGCAGGGCUAUUCUGGUAGGGUCCAUCCCAGGACCUAAGAGGGGAGGAAAAUUGGCUAAAAAGAGCAAGACUCACCCAAGAAGCUGUGAUGGAGGCACACCCGUGCUGCCCUGAUGGCUGGCUGGCACUGUAGAUGAGUUCCAGAUAGGUUACUGGCAAAGAAAAGAGCACUUCUUCCUGCUUUGCAUCGGCAACCUGUGCCUGGAUUAUGAGCUGCUGGAGCAAGGGUAGACUGGAAGGACACCAGGAGGUUUCUGCUGUCUGAUAACAUUCCUGGGGCUCAAGGAAUUCUUCCAUCCAGUCUCCUACUUCCAGGAGGCUUCCUCCCCUGGUUUCUCCCCAGGUACCAUGAUGGGCCUUUCCUUUGAUAUAGAGCAGCUAUUUCCACACUGUCUCUGUCCAUGCCUCCAUCUGUGAGAGUUUGUUGUAUUCUUGGUUGACCCAGGUGAUCACAAUCGCCUGUUACUGACAAAUUAGAUUACCAUGCAAUAAGUACUCUAAGCAGAAGGUACAUAUGUUUGUUGUUACCAAGAAUGUCUAACUUAACUUUAAUCCAUAACAACUCGUGUUAGGGGAAAUGGCAUACCAGUUUUCCUUUUCAGAGAGUUUUCUUUAUCAUUGUUCAUUUUAUCUUUGUACCUCUUUGGACCAUGUAGAGAUUAGUCAAAUUACCUGCAUUUGACAAACGAGAACAAUACAGCCCCAUAGUGACUUGUCUGAAGAAGCCCAGAGAAUUGGUGACAAAGCUGACAUCUGGUCUCCUGAUUUCCAUUCUGGGAUUCUUUCUACUGAUCUUUCUUAUUUCAUUUAUUCAAUGUACCAACUCAAAUGAAAACGUGCCUACUACAUGGCAUGGAAGAAACAGGCUUCUUGUCUUAUCUCGCACAGUCUGCCCACGCAAACCAUCUGUCCAGCCAAACCAAAAUAGCACUGUGCUUCCAGCCUCUGCACCCUGGCUCCUGCCUUGUCGCUGGCUUGAACCACCCUCCCCCAACUCUCUGCUUAAUGAAACUUAAUCAUCCUUUAAUCCGAAGCUCAACUGUCCUGUCUUCUAUAUUGCCUUCCUGAUUAUUACAGCAGGAAGUAAUUUCUCUUGCUCGAAAUGCAGUUAAUUAAAAAAAUGGGCGACUUUGGUGCCAUCAUACUCUGCCUUGGAUUGUAGUGUUUUGUUGGUGAAUUUUAUCUCCCCAAGUAAGCUGUGGGCCUGAAGAAGGCAGCAACUGUAUUUCACACAUCUUAGUAUUCCUCACAGUCUUGCGUAUGAUGUAAGCUAAAUAUUUAUUGAAUGAGUCAAUGAAAGUGAUUUUCAGUGUUGAGAGCUGAAUUCAGAACCCCACAAUCUGAUCUCCAUGUUUCUUCUACCAAGUCAUUCUGAAAGCAAUGCAGUUUCUACUAUGAUUUGCCUCUUUGUAAGCCAAUCACGGUUGAAAAUAGGCUGUUUCAUAUGGUGCAGUCUAACCCAAUGCAUAUGGAACUGUUUGGACAGAAUAAAAUAGUUUAAAUGGCUGAGCUUGAAAACUGAACUUCCUGUGCUGUUGCUGGCUAGCAUUAAAUGCGUAUCCCCUC